rnacentral:rRNA from 1 species
AUUGAACGCUGGCGGCAGGCCUAACACAUGCACGUCGAGCGGCGCGGCGGUUGGGUGAGCAAUGCCUAGGAAUCUGCCUGGUUGUGGUGGCUAACGUCCGGAAACGGGCGCUAAUACCGCAUACUAUCAGAUGAGCCUCGGUGGGAUUAGCUAGUUGGUGGGGUAAAGGCCUACCAAGGCGACGAUCCGUAUCUGGUCUGAGAGGAUGAUCUGUCACACGGGAACUGAGAGACGGUCCAGACGCAUACGGGAGGCAGCAGUGGGGAAUAGUGGAAAAUGGGCGAAAGCCUGAUCCGGCCAUGCCGCGGGUGUGAAGAAGGUCUUAGGAUUGUAAAGCACGUUAAGUGGGGAGGCGUUACCAACAGAAUAAGCACCGGCUAACUUCGUGCCAGCAGCCGCGGUAAUAC